GGUCUUGUGGUCUAGUUGGUUACGACGUCUGCUUCACACGCAGAAGGUCCCCAGUUCGAGCCUGGGCAGGAUCA
rnacentral:tRNA from 2 species